rnacentral:lncRNA from 1 species
AGGUGAGGUUGGAGACUGGAAAAACGUUUUCACCGUUGCUGUCGAUGAGAAAUUUGAUGCUUUGUUCGCCAAGAAGACGAAAGGAAUUGACUUUCAAUAUCGCUAUUCUUUAUAACUUGCAAGUUAUGAAUGCAAUGAUUAUACCAGACAUAUAUUCGUAUGGUUUUACACUAGUCUUCUAUGGGGCCUUUAUAGCUUGCUGUUCGAUGUGGGCCAAAGCGCUGUGUUAAAGACCGUACUAUGACCUAAAAUGAUUUAUUUUUAUAAAAUGUGACUUGAGAGGAAAGUUGGUUCAUUGGCACUCAUACAACAUAUUCUUAUAUCUAUAUAAUCAAAACAUAAUAAAU